UACGAAGGGGGCUAGCGUUGUUCGGAAUUACUGGGCGUAAAGCGCACGUAGGCGGGUCGUUAAGUCGGUGGUGAAAUCCUGGAGCUCAACUCCAGAACUGCCUCCGAUACUGAGAGUCUUCGAGUCCGGGAGAGGUGAGUGGAACUGCGAGUGUAGAGGUGAAAUUCGUAGAUAUUCGCAAGAACACCAGUGGCGAAGGCGGCUCACUGGCCCGGUACUGACGCUGAGGUGCGAAAGCGUGGGGAGCAAACAGG
rnacentral:rRNA from 1 species